rnacentral:lncRNA from 1 species
CCCAGUUUAUAAGUCUCCUCCUCCACGCCAUCAUCACCCCGUUUACAAGUCUCCACCACCUCCAACUCCUGUUUACAAAUCACCACCACCACCCAAGGACCCACACUACCCUCCACACACCCCAAUUUACAAGUCACCACCACCACCCAAAGAACCACACUACCCACCACAUACCCCAGUGUACAAGUCUCCACCACCACCAACUCCAGUAUACAAGUCACCACCACCACCCAAGAGGCCAUACCAUCCUCCACCAACACCAUAUCAUCCCACACCAGUUUAUAAGUCUCCACCACCACCAACUCCAGUGUACAAGUCACCACCACCCCCAACUCCCGUUUACAAAUCACCACCACCACCAGUGAAGCCAUACCAUCCCGCACCAGUAUACAAGUCUCCACCACCCCCAACUCCCAUUUACAAAUCACCACCACCACCAGUGAAGCCAUACCAUCCUAAACCUGUGUACAAGUCUCCACCACCACCAGUGAAGCCAUAUCAUCCUACACCCGUCUACAAGUCUCCACCACCACCAACUCCCGUCUACAAGUCACCACCACCACCAGUGAAGCCAUACCAUCCUACACCCGUCUACAAGUCUCCACCACCACCAACUCCCGUCUACAAGUCGCCACCACCACCAGUGAAGCCAUACCAUCCUACACCCGUAUACAAGUCUCCACCACCACCAACUCCCGUUUACAAGUCACCACCACCACCAGUGAAGCCAUAUCAUCCCUCACCAACACCAUACCACCCUACACCAGUAUACAAGUCUCCACCACCACCAACUCCCGUUUACAAGUCCCCACCACCACCAGUAAAGCCAUACCACCCUUCACCAACACCAUACCAUCCUAAACCAGUAUACAAGUCUCCACCACCACCAACUCCAGUCUACAAGUCUCCACCACCAACCCACUAUGUUUACUCCUCUCCCCCUCCUCCCUACCAUUACUAAGAAGUGAGUUUACUAUAUCUGAGGUAAUUAAGAUGAACUUAAACCUUUACAAACAUAUAUAACUAAAAUGCAAUGCAAUAAUAAGUUGCACAAUUAUUUCUUCUCUUUUGGUUAGUUUCUUUUAUAUGUUCUCAUUCACAAUAUUAUAUUGUUAUGCAGGAAAAGCAUAAUGUUGAGCUGAAAGAAAGGCAUUUUCCAUUUUCAAGAAGAAAAUUAUAGUAAAUAAUAAGGCUUACAGAAGAUCAGACGAAGUUCUUUUGUAGCUUCAUGUUAUCUAACUUGUCUUAGUGAUAUAUUGUUUUUGUACUCUAUUUUUAUAUAUUACUUUUAUGUGUCUUUGUGUAUGUUUGCUCACUUUCAAUCUUCUUGCAAAAUGCAGAGAUUAAUUAUGAGAUUAUCAUGAAUAAAAUAAGUUAUUACUACUCCCAUAUGUUUUAAUUAACUUCUCAUCACAAUAUAUAUUACCUUUGUUUUCAUUUUAUCAUGUGCUCAUAUUUAAUUUAUAAAAUUAUAAUGUGAACACAACAUUUACAAUUUUUUUCAAAUAGAACUAUUUAUAUAUAUAUAUAUAUAUAUAUAUAUAUAUAUAUAUAUAUAUAACAGGAUGCUCAAAUUAAUAACCAACGAAUUUCAUGUACUUAUGGUUAUAAUUCAAUCAAAUUCGAGUAUUGUAGUCCAUUUACGAUAACAAAAUAAAAAAAUUAUUUAAUAAUCACAUAAUACGUUGUUAAACUUUUGUAAAGUAUAUGAUUUCAGAAGCUCAAACAAAAAAUUACAAUCCAAAUAUUUUAAAAAUAAUAGUUUAAAAUUUUCACGCAUCACAUAAAUAUAUAUACUUACUCCAAGCCUAUCCUAUCCGAAAUUUUCAGCUAUUGAUGUAGCCUCUUGUCGAUACUACUAGUCUUCUCGCUACCUACUAGAAAAAUUCCAUCAAAAUAGAUUGAAUCGACGACCUAUACUUCAACUAAAGGCACGAGGGCGUAGCGAGCUUAACUAUUAUCGUAAUAUAAGAUGAAAUCCACCCAUUUUGAUAUCACAUACACGUCUUUAAAACUGAUAAAAUAAUGAGGUCUACUCUUAGUCAAAAUUAAAUGAUUGUAGACCACAUCUACAGUUCCCAAUUGUCAACAAUUCGAUCCUCCGCGUUUGUGGUAGGUUUCACUUUCAUUUCUUCGGUUCGAUUUUAUCAAAUUUUAAUUUGAUUCUUUAAUUUUUAAUUUUGGAAAAAUGUGUAUGGAAUGUUGAAUCGAAUUAAUUUGUUUAAUUAUCUUUUUAAAAAAUUAGUUUAAAACAAAAAUUGAAUUUCAAUAAAAUUUAAUGAAAAAAUUAUUCAAAUUGAUUAGGUAACCUUUUAAGUCAAAUAUCAAUAGUUGAAUAAUUUUAUAGGUAAAAUAUUCAUAAUUGAGUGACUUUGAGAUCAUACAAGAAAAUUGAGUGACUUUAUAAGAGAAAAAAUCUUAGUUAAAAUAAUUUUUUAUGAGAAAAAAUUCUUAAGUAACUUUAUGGCAUUAUAAAAAAAAAUUAACUCCUCUUUAAAUUAGAAUUACAAAAUUAAAAGUAAGUUCCAUUUUAAAGAUAAGGACAUUAUUAGUAAAAAUAAUUGGUGAACAUUUUCCAAUGAAAAAAUAAUAUUUUUCUAAAAUAGCUAAUAGAUGAUAAUUCGUUUCUUAGGCGUAAAAAUGUUAGGACAUGUUAGCCUCACUCAGUUGAAUAAAUUGCUCACCAAGAACAUAAUCAUUGAAUAUCCUAAAACAAAGUUUAAAAAUGAAUUAAAAAAAAAAUCAGUAAUAAAAAAAUACAUGCAAACUAUCUACAAAUGUAUUAUUAUUAAUUUUUAAAUAAAAAAGAGUAAAUGAAAGAGAAUAGAAGAUCUUUGACUUGUUAAUUAAGACAAAUAUUUGUCUAAUAUAAGUAUGUCGGUAAUAACAAUGUAGACUAAGAUCUGUACUUGUUUAUAUAUCCAUAUCCCUUAAUGUUAGGACCAUUAAAAUUAUUAAUUUAGUUUAACUAAUUAAUGGGAUCUUAUAAAUACAUUAAUAAUAUUACUGUUGUCGGUGAUUAAGUUAAUGCUAAUACUUAAUUGUUUUUUUUUUCCAAUUAAAAUGUCAAAGUCGUUAGAUGAACCAAAAUGGAAUCGUCCAUGAAGAUGGUACCAGAGUACAAUUAUUGAAUAAUAUCUUUUUUUUUUAACUUCAAAAAUUAAAGUGGAAUUCAAUUACCUACUUUAUAAAUGUAUGGCAACUUGGCAAUAAUUCAUUAAAUUUCAGGAAGAACAAAAACCAUCGAUAAUUGAGAUUAAUUUAAGAGAUAAAUGUCAAAAACACAUUUAAUAUAUUACAUAUUUUAAAAAAAUUCAUACUUCACCCCGUCUCUUUUCGAAAAAAUUGAUAUUAUUUUAUUUUUUUAAAAAUAGGAAUUCUAUCCAUCCUAUAUAACCUCCUGUACCUAAUUUUUUUAUAUAUAUUUUUGUGAGUUUGUAUUAGAUAUGUACAUAUAUUUUUAGGAAUUCUUUCUACUUGUGUACCAAAUAUAAAGUAAAUAAAACAUUUAUUUUUUAAAAAAGUCUUGAGGCCGUGGCAAAUAAAAAUUAUUUUCAAUAUGUUUAUAUCUAACACAAAAGGAGAAAAAGUUCGAAAGCGGACGGUUAGGUGGGGUAGGUAUAUUUUUUUUAAAGCAAAUUAGUAUAUAUAUUUUUUUGUGUGUGUGGGGUUGGGGGGGGGGGGGGGGUAAAAAAAAGUUAAAUACCUUUACAAAAGAAAUUUAAACAAAAAAAACUAAAAAAAAAAAGGGUGGGGGGAGGGUUGGACGGUUAGAGAAAGUGAUGGAGUGGGUAGGGAGGCGAGCAAAAUUGGGAGGGAGACGAGCAAACUUUGUACGUAUCGUAACCCAGAACAUGUGAAUCAAGCAAGAUACACACUAGGUACAUGUAUUUGUACGUGUCUAGAGGAAUUCACAUAUAUCUGGGAUAUCAUAUUCUUGGAAGAAUGACGAGCAAAAUGGAACAGAGGCAAGGAAGGAAAACGAGAUAUACUAUGUAUCCCAAAUACAUGCGAAUUCAAUAAAUAUAAUGUAUCUAGAACAAAUUACACCUAAAUUUGAUCGAGAUAUUCGAGAUACAUGUAUCUCAAGGCACCAAAAUCUGAUUUUUAUAUAUAUAUAUAUAUAUAUGAAAGUUUAUGUGAUCGAUAAAACUAAUAGCUUAGUAUUUCAAUGGUAUCAUUUCUACACAAAAUAGUUCUACCUCAAUUUAUGACAAAAAUGAUUUUAUUUAUAUGAGAUCAAAUUUAUAGGGUUUCGAUGACCAUGAUAAAACAGGAGAAUGUACAAAAAUACUUAAGUCCUUGUUUAUAAUAUACCAUUUUGCCAAAAUAUUUGUAGCUCGAUUAACUUUCUUAUAGAAAUGUUGAACCUUUCAAAUAAUAGUGCUUGAUAUAAUGAUAUAUUGUAAAUAUGAAAAGUGAUGUUUUUCAUUUUCCAAAGAAUACCACUAAAAUAGUUCUUUCUAACAUCAUGUAUAAAUUUUUAUGCAAGUAAAACAUUUUAAAUAAUAAUCUACGAAACUUGUUAUUUGAUCCUCAUAGAUAUUAUAACAUUUAGUUUUAGUGCUUAUGAAAAUAAUUUUGUUAGAACAAUAUUUCCAUUAUACGUAUAAAAAGUUCACAUUGUUCUUUGUUUUUAAAGAUACAAUAUCCUAAUUAUUUCAUUGUUAUUCCAUCUCUAUUAUUCAUUGAGCAUAAUUUGAAUAAUUUAUUUUUAUCAUAUUAUUACCAAUAUAAUCAUAGAAAGUCAAAUAAGAAAACUAAUUUUCCUUGUUACUAUUUCUUUGAUUAAUUGGAAUUAGAGACGACUAGUUAUUAUUAUGAGCAACUUUCACAUAUAGCAAACAAAAAAUUUAUAUUUGUAUGCUAAUUAAGCUCCAUAGCAAACAUAAAACUGUAUAAUUUGCUAUACAUAUACAAUUGUAUAAUUCGCUGGCCUAUUUCGCUGCAAUAGUAUAAUUUGUUUUGCAUACAGUUGAAUCGAAUUAAAAUGUAUGUAUAUUGCAUAAUUAUAAGUGUAUAGCAAGAAGAUAUAUGUUUUUCUCGCUUUAUACAAAAACAGAAACACAAUAUAUACACUUUUGUUGUAUAAAGCUAGAGAAAAUUGUAUUUCACUGCAAUUGUAUAAUUCGCAAUUGUAUAAUUCGUUGGCCUUUUUCUCUGCAAUAUUUGAAGUAAAAUGUUUGCAAAUUGUGUAAUUAAGUGUAUAACAUGAAGAUAUACAUUUUUGCAUGUGUAUAUACAAUUUUCUCUCGCUUUAUACAAAACAGAAACAGAAUUAUACACUUCUGUGUAUAAAGCGGGAGAGGCGAGCGAGAAUGGAGAGUGGCGAGCGAGAUUUUUGGGAGAGAGACGCUGGCAAAUUUUAGCUAAUGUUUGCUAUGGAGCAAAAUUAAAUCAAAUCCUAGCUAUUCCAUUUAAUUUAGGUUAUUAGUUUGCUAUUAUAUACAAUUUUUUCUAUUAUUAUUAAUCGGAUGCAUUUCACUCCGCACAUAAAUAACUUCCAAUAAUUUAAUAUUAAUUAUAUAUGCUCUAUUAAAUAAUUUUUAAAUAUAAAAUAAUAUUAUGGUAGAUUUGGGGGUGUCAAAAUCAAGUCAAUUUGUCAAACUCCCCUAUUCCAUUUAAUUUAUCAACUUUAACUCAUCUCAACCUAAUUUAGUUUAAUUCAUAUUUAAACAGUGAAUUGAUAUAUAAUUCAAAUUAGCUUAUCAAAAUAUUUUUAAAAUAAUAUUUUUAAAAUUUGAUAUGUUAUAUAUAGUCGUAAUAAAGAAAAAAAUAAACUUAUUAGGUGCUAAAAAAUUUUAAAAAGAGCAAACUAAACAACUAAAUUUUAGUAAAAAUUGAAGGGGUUAUAUUAGAAAUCGAAUUUAACUUAAUUAUGUCCAAUUCAUUUCAAUUCAAAUAGACAAUAGCUAAUGAUCCAUUCAUUUGUUAACUCAUUAAAAUUCAAUCGGUUCAAAUUCAGGUCAACUCUCCUAUACCAAACUUCUAGUAGAUCUUAAUCAAUAAAAAUUUGGACACGAAAACAAUUCAUUCAUUUCAUCCAUCAAAUUAUUAAUAAGUGACACCAUCUUAGCGACCCAGUUCAUUGUAUUAUAUUAAGAAAAAAUAACUUAAAUACACAAUUAUAAGUUUUAUAUUUUCUAAUUUUCCCUUCUUUUUUUUAAAUAUUACAUAAUUUCCUUUUUUUAAAAUUUUAGUGUAAGUUUAUAGAUACAUUACAUUCUCUCUCCUAUAGUACACAAUUACCCAUUUUAAUGCCUAUUUAUUCUCCAUUAAAACACUCAACCUUUUAAAUAAAAGACCUAAUUUUGAAUUUCAAAAUUCAAAAAAUUUCAAAUUUCAAAAAUCAGGUUCUCCCGUUUUUCUUACUCCAUCAAGUUUCACUUCCUUUUUUUCCAUAAUCAUCUUCCUUCUUCUUAACCUAGCAGAAUUUAUUGGUUUCUUCUUUUUAUUCUUAAUCCAUCAUCUUUUUCUUCUUAAUCUGUAAUCGUCUUAACCCAAUAUCUUUUUAUUAUUAAUCCAUCAUCAGUUCGUCUUUUCUUCUCUUUUUUCUUUUUGUUAAUUGUUCUAUUACAUUAUAGUAAUGGAUCCGUUAAUUAAUAGAAGGAUAUAUGAUUCCGACGAUGAAAAUUGGAAAGAAAAUAGGAAAAAGUUUUUGCAUGAUCCUAUGAAUCUUCAGAAGGAUUCAAACAAAGACUCUGGCGAAACAUCAAAAUCAAAGGUUAUCAAAAUACAACAAAAAAAGAAAAAAGAAGCAGCAAACAUUGUUGUUAGGCCUACAUUGUCUCGGGUUAGUAUUUUGGUACUUAAAACUGUUGUUGAAAUUAGUAAAAAUUUUAAGGAAUCUAGUGUGCUUGCCGAUACAUUUGAAUAAGUGUGUAUAGUGUUUUAGAGGUGAAUUGAUACAUGAAUUUAUUGUGUAUCAUAAUAUUUUAUAUGUAUCAUGAAGUUUUGAAAAUUGUUAUAAUGUAUCAUUCAAUAAGUUUAGUAAAUACGUCAUCAACUGUGCUUGAUGAUACAUAUAGAAUCAGUGUGUACGGUGUUUAGUCAAUUCACUGAUACAUGUAGGAGAUAUGUAUCACAUGUUUUGCAUAUAGUAUGAAUUUCUGAAAACUGAUAUCAUGUAUCAGUAAGGUAUUAGUUGUUUAGUUGAUGUACUGAUACAUGUUUGAAAAUUGUUAUAAUGUAUCAUUCACUAAGUUUAAUAAAUGCGUCAUCAACUGUACUUGAUGAUACAUAUAGAAUCAGUGUGUAUAUUGUUUAGUCGAUGUUUCUGAUACAUGCAUUAGAUACGAAAUUGAAUCUCCAACAACGAUUCCGUCGAUUUUGUAACUUUCAUACUGCAAUUCGUUCACCUAAAUUCCGGAAUGUCUCAUCAAAAUCGAAGUAUUCAUCUUGAAAAAUCCACUGUAACAACAAUAAAAUUACUGUAGUUCGAAAUUUAACAGAUUGUUCAAAAAAAUUGUUUUCAAAAUAGAUGACAUAAUCUUUGUUUUUCAAAAUUUGAAAUUAAUAUCCAAUUAAGUGCUUAUUUUAUGCUGAUUAAUGAUAUGUUACCGUAAAUUUAGCUGUUUUAUUAACAACAUUAACUGUACCGUUUUCCCCCUUUUUUUUCUCAACAGUUUAAAAUUACCAUGUAUCAUUUACCUUGUAUCACGAGAGUCUAAAGUAUCACGGCUCAACAAAUUUAAGAGAUUUUUUGUAAAUACUAAAUUUGUCUGGACAAAAUGAAAUUAUUGAAUUACACUAUAGGAUUCCUUAAAUUUUUACUUAUAUUAAUCUUUAGUAUGGGGACCUAAAUAUUUAACUUUCCAAUUCCUUUAGGGGUCAAUUUGAUUGAUUAUAAUGAGUGAAUUAUACUAUAAAAAUUGAAAUAAUAAUUAAUGUUUGUAGAGCAUAUUAAAUUAUUUUAUCAUGACUACAGUUGGUGUUAAUUGAAUUGGAAAUAAGAUAUAUACGGUAUAUAAUAUAUAUAGAAAUUUUAAUUUGAUUCGUUGAUUUUGUAUUUUCAGACAAAUUUUAUUUUUAAUUUUACCUUUCUUAAAGAACUUUUAGUUUGGUUGUUUUAUCAUGGAAUUAGCUAAUUAUUAAUCUAGAGAAUUGCUAUUCCAUAUACAACUUUGGUACAAUUAGAGAAUUAUAAUAUAAUUAAUUUCAAAAUUACUUAUAUUUAGGAACAAAAGUUUCAAUCAAACGAUAAAUAAUUGAAUAUUUUAUCUCAGAAUUAGUAUUAUUAUUAUUAAUACUAAUUAACGAUCCUAAGUUUCGAUUUUGUCACUCCGGUCCUUUUCUUUUAAUCUUUUCACAAACCAACUACAUUUGAUUGCAUUAACUAUAAAGUCCAUUUGCAUUAUUUUACAUAUCAAUUAAUAUUACUAAACUAAAUUUAUCUAUAAUUACUGAUUUAAAUGUAUACCUAUUUUCUCACCAACAUGGCAUAUAUAUUAGACUCAUUAAAAUUAAACGUUGCUUCAUGUGGUGUGUUCAAUUGGUUAGACUAUCUCGUCAAAUAUAUUGUUCGCAAAUAAACAAUGCUCAAAUGAAUGAUAUUAAUGUUGUUGGUGAAUAUUACAAGCUUCUCGUAACGUUUUGUUAGCUUACGUAUGAAUGUGCAAUAUUAUUUCUACUUAUUUUGUCAAACACUAAAAAAGUAAGUAAAAAACUUGUUUAUGUGAGAUAAUAUUUUUCUUUGUACCUAAAAAGUGCAUUAAUUUAUAUAGCUAAAAUAGUGCAAAGUUGAGGCCUCCACGCAUUAUUUUUGGUGAGAAGAAGAAUGAGAAGACUUUCUAUCUCUUUGAAUUAUUGCAUCACAAACAGUAUAGCUGCCUUAAUAGUUUAUUCAUUUGCUUAGCUUAAUGCCUCUAUCCAUCAAAUUAAAUAUACAACUAACAAGACAAAACCAAAUGAAAAUGCAUAACUCUAGGAUUUUACCUACAUUUGUAUAAAUUUUGGUAAGGGUAUCUGUCUAAAUGAAAACUAUAUAAAGGGGUUUGAGUGAAGCUUAAGAUGACAACAACUUUCUCCUUUGUUUCGAAUAUGGGGAAAAUGGCCUUUCUAGUUGCCACCCUUUUAGUGGUUUUAGUGUCACUUAGCUUAGCAUCUGAAAUUUCAGCUAAUUAUCAAUACUCAUCUCCCCCACCACCAAAGGAGCCAUACCACCCUUCACCAACACCAUAUCAUCCCACACCAGUUUACAAUUCUCCACCACCACCAAAAGAGCCAUACUACCCUCCACACACUCCAGUGUACAAGUCGCCACCACCCUCGACACCUAUUUACAAGUCGCCACCACCACCCAAAGAGCCAUACUACCCUCCACACACCCCUGCCUACAAGUCACCACCUCCACCAACUCCAGUUUACAGGUCGCCACCACCUCCCAAGGAGCCAUACUAUCCUCCACACACACCAACCUACAAGUCGCCACCUCCACCAACUCCCGUUUACAAGUCACCACCACCUCCAAAGGAACCAUACUACCCUCCACAUGCACCAACCUACAAGUCGCCACCACCUCCCAAGGAGCCAUACUACCCUCCCCACACCCCAACCUACAAGUCCUCACCUCCACCAACUCCGUUUUACAAUUCACCACCACCUCCCAAGGAACCAUACUACCCUCCUCACACACCAACCUACAAGUCGCCACCCCCACACAAGGAUCCAUACUACCCUCCACACACACCAACCUAUAAGUCACCACCUCUACCAACUCCUGUUUACAAGUUGCCACAACCACCCAAGGAGCCAUAUUACCCUCCACACACACCAACCUACAAGUCACCACCUCCACCAACUCCCAUUUACAAGUCACCACCACCUCCCAAGGAGCCAUACUACCCUCCACACACACCAACCUACAAGUUACCACCUCCACCAACUCCCGUUUAUAAGUCGUCGCCACCACCAUCCAAAGAGCCAUACUACCCUCCACACACACCAACCUACAAGUCACCACCUCCACCACCUCCCGUUUAUAAGUCUCCACCACCACCCAAGGAGCCAUACUACCCUCCACACACACCGACCUACAAGUCACCACCUCCACCAACUCCCGUUUACAAGUCCCCACCACCUCCUAAGGAGCCAUACUACCCUCCACACACACCGACCUACAAGUCACCACCUCCACCAACUCCCGUUUACAAGUCCCCACCACCUCCUAAGGAGCCAUACUACCCUCCACACACACCAACCUACAAGUCACAACCUCCACUAACUCCCGUUUAUAAGUCGUCGCCACCACCACCCAAGGAGCCAUACUACCCUCCACACACACUAACCUACAAGUCACCACCUCCACCAACUCCUGUUUAUAAGUCGCCACCACCACCCAAGGAUCCAUACUACCCUCCAAACACCCCAACUUACAAGUCGCCACCUCCACCAACUCUCAUUUACAAGGUUCCACCACCAGCCAAGGAGCCAUACUACCCUCCACACACACCGACCUACAAGUCACCACCUCCACCGACUCCCCUUUAUAAGUCCCCACCACCUCCUAAGGAGCCAUACUACCCUCCACACACACCAACCUACAAGUCACCACCUCCACCAACUCCCGUUUAUAAGUCGUCGCCACCACUACCCAAGGAGCCAUACUACCCUUCACACACACCAACCUACAAGUCACCACCUCCACCAACUCCCGUUUAUAAGUCUCCACCACCAACCAAGGAUCCAUACUACCCUCCACACGCCCCAACCUACAAGUCGCCACCUCCACCACCUCCCACUUACAAGUCGCCACCACCACCAAAGGAGCCAUACUACCCUCCACACACACCAACCUACAAGUCAUCACCUCCACCAACUCUCAUUUAUAAGUUGUUGCCACCACCACCCAAAGAGCCGUACUACCCUCCACACACACCAACCUACAAGUCACCACGUCCACCAACUCCCAUUUAUAAGUCGUCGCCGCCGCCACCCAAGGAGCCAUACUACCCUCCACACACACCAACCUACAAGUCACCACCUCCACCAACUCCCGUUUAUAAGUCGCCACCACCACCCAAGGAUCCAUACUACCCUCCACACACCCCAACCUACAAGUCGCCACCUCCACCAACUCCCGUUUACAAGUCGCCACCACCACCCAAGGAGCCAUACUACCCUCCUCACACACCAACCUAUAAGUCACCACCUCCACCAAGUCCCGUUUACAAGUCGCCACCACCACCCAAGGAUCCAUACUAUCCUCCACACACCCCAACCUACAAGUCGCCACCUCCACCAACUCCCGUUUACAAGUCGCCACCACCACCCAAGGAGCCAUACUACCCUCCUCACACACCAACCUAUAAGUCACCACCUCCACCAAGUCCCGUUUACAAGUCGCCACCACCACCCAAGGAGCCAGACUACCCUCCACACACCCCAUCCUACAAGUUACCACCUCCACCAAUUCCCAUUUACAAGUCGCCACCACCACCAACUCCUGCCUACAACUCUCCUCCACCACCUUACUAUCUUUACACCUCUCCCCCUCCUCCCUACCAUUACUAAAAAGCCACUUCAUUAUAUCGAGGUAAUUAAGACAAACUAAAACUAUUACUAAUGAUGUGUCUAAAAUGCAAAGCAAUAAGUUGCUCAAUUUCCUCAUGCAAAUCAUUAAUAUAUAGACCUAUGCAGUCUAUAUUCUUAUUUGGAUAACUUUAAUUACAUGUUCUCAUUCACAAAAUUAUAUUCUUAUGCAGGAAAAGCAAAAUGUUGAGCUUAAAGAAAGGCAUUUUACAUUUUCGAGAGACGAUGAAAAAAGAAGAAAACUAUAGUAAAUAAUAAGCCCCACAUAAGUCGAAGUUCUUUUGUAGCUUCAUGUUAUCUAAGCUAGUGAUACUGUUUGUACUCUAUUAUUUAUAUUUGUAUUUUUACUUUUAUGUCUUUCUGUAUGUUUGCUCAGUUUUAAUAUCCUAGCAAAAUGCAAAGAUUAAUUAUGAGAUGAAUAAAAUAAGUUAUUACUAUUAUACAGUUUUAUGUUUUCCUUCUCUCUGAUCUAUUCGAUCUUAAUUAGUCCUUUUUUUGGUCUUAUUUCUUCAUCUUUAUAUCGAAGGCGAGGCUCAACGAUUACAUUAAAUCAAUCAUCAUACAGAUAAAAUUGAUGACAAAUUUAACGUUAAGAUAUCAUCAAAAUCUCAAUAACAAUUUACAGAUCGAAAUCUUAGUAUCGAUUGAUUAAUAACCUAAACUUUCGCCAUGAAGACUUGAAUCCCUAAUCCCGUCCUUCAUUUCCCAUAUCUCUACCCACACAUUAUCUUUUAAGAAAGAAGAAGUAACAACCAAAAUAAACAUUAUAUCUAAAGUGAUAAUAUGAUAACAAUACAAAUAGGCAACAAUACAAUUAAAGAAAAAAAAAAAAGUUACUCCCACGAUGUCAACACGUAUGCUAGACUGACCAAUAAAGUUAGACAAAUUUCAAAAUUGACAAUAGCAAAGUAUACGUACGUAGCAUAUAGCAACCAAUCAAUGAAUAAAUUAUUCCUAAAGUAGUCAUUAUCAUCUCAUAUACUAUAUUUGGUAAAAUACUAAGAUUAAGUCAACAUAAUUCAGUCUACCGUUUGGUAAUUUAUAACAAAUAGUGACAAUAUUAAUAAAGUGAUUGGUGCUCUCUUUUGGCCCACCCCCAAGAAGAUCGUGAACGCAUAUUUUAAAUUUGAUUUGAUUACCACUUUUUAAUAUCUUUAAAAUAAAACUUGUAUAUUUAAAAAAUUAAAAAUUAUUAUUAUUAUUUAAUUAUAUAAAUAAAAUAUUUUAAAAUACAUUAGUAUCUUAAUAGAGAAAAGAUUAAAAAAUUAAAAAUUAUUAUUAUUAUUUAAUUAUAUAAAUAAAAUAUUUUAAAAUACAUUAGUAUCUUAAUAGAGAAAAGAUUGUUUGUUUGAUUUUCUAAAGUAACAGAGUCGGAUGAGAUAGUUGAUUAAUUUGACGGUUUGAAUAAUAUAAUCUUCUUGAUAAAUAAUCAUCAACCCAUCAUGCAUGUUUUAUAUUUAUUGAUAGAAACUUUGAUGGAUUGAUUUGUUGGUGCCGCCUCAACAUAGAGAAAAGAAAAAGAACAAGUUAUUUCAAUCUAUUACACUUUAGAGAUUAAAAAAAACAUUUUUUAAAGCAGUGAUAAAAUUGAUAAUAAUAAGUUGUUAAUAUGUUUGGCAAAAAGAGUGUCGAUUAACUAUUUUUUGCUAUAGUAUUGAAAUAUCUUUAGAUUUUUUAACCCCCAAAAAAGGUUUAAAACUACCUCUGUAAAGAAAAGGAGUUUAUUUUUAGAAAAUAUAUCUCGAGAAAUAAAGUAAGAUAAAGGAUAAAAUCGUGAAAGAAAAAUGUUGAUAAGCAAACAAAAAAAUCAAAGUUAGGAAUGACCAAUUUAUUGAAUAUAACUAAAUUGUCUUAAAUAAGCAACUUAGCUUAUAAAUAUAUAUAUAAAAUUAUUUUUAUAUCAGUUUGAUCAAUUAAUAAUAAAUUGAUUAUGCAUGAAAUAAUAGGAAGUGUUCUAAUUAAAAAGAAUACAAGGAAAAAGGUGCAGUAUUGUGUACGAUCGACCAAACAUACAUUCGUUAUUAAUUAUUAUUAAGCUAAUUAGACAACGCUAUCUUAUUAAUUUAUUAUAGAGCUGUCGAUAUUAGUUUAGAUAAUUAAAUUAUAUAAAAUUCAUUUAAUUCAAUCAAAGCUUGACUUGUUAAAUGUUAGGUUUAUGAUAUGAUUAAUUAUAUAUAUAAUUCACUAUGAUUUUACGCGACUUGUUAAUCAAGACCUUAUUUAACAUAUUGAUUAAGUUAUUAGUUAUAUAACUAAUAAAAAUAUAUUUUAAAUAAUAAAUGGUUAUUGAGAGAAAACUUCCAUGCAAUUAUCAUAAUAAGAAACUUCUUAAGAAAUUGUCUCUAAUUAGAUAAUUGGAUGGUGACUCUUUUGUUUAAAAAAAAUUGAAUCAAUCAAGAUUUUAUUGCUAUUAAUUGUGAACUACAAUUUGUAGAAGGGGAGCAUAAACCUAGAUAUUAACUAUGCACAACAUGAGUGUGCAAGAUUAUUUUGUUUAUUUAUUUUGAUUCAAUUCAGUAUCCGAUAUUCAUAUUAGAUUCUCAAUCAAAUUUGUAUUUACAUUAAAAAAAUUCAGUGCUCCUUAACAGAGGCAACAACUCUGUACUCAGGAGAACUCGAAUUCGAGACCUCUAAACAAGAAUAAAGAAGUAUUUGUUAUUCCAUAACAAUUUUUAUUGAUAAAAGAAACUCGUAGUAUCAUGAAAAGAUAAUAGAUUAUCUAGGCCUAAUGGAAAAUUCAGUCAAGCUUUAGAGGGAAAAUUAUGGCAUAGCAAAGUUACAAACUUUAUAGUAUGAUUAACUUAAUUACAAGACCGUUAAAUUGAAUGCAACCCCAAUAACUUUUCUUUCAAUAAAUAUUUGGCCUUUGUGAGCUUUAUUUGAACUCUCUCUUCCUUCAUAAACUUGACCAUCAGCAAUAUUUUCCUUUCCUCUUUUAUUUUAUUGCUCACUCGAUAGUCAGCUUUUAAGAUUGACUUGAUGUUUCGAUAAGCGAAAGGUGUAAAUCCAGAUUAUGCUCAAGUAUCUAAGUGAUAUAUGAAUUGCAAACUUUUUGCAUAUGCAUUUGAGAAGAAAAUAAUUAUCACAAGAAAAUAAAUAAUUAGCAUGCGGUAAAUUAUUAACGUAGUUAAAUAAUGUUAUAGUCUUAUAAAUUAAAAUAAAGACAAGGCAACAAUUGUCACUAAUUAUUUGUAUUGUUAGCAACAAAAACUAAGAGAACAUAAAUAAUAUAUACUUAAUGGCUCAAUUUUACACCAUUUCACUAUAAAUAACUUUAUGUCGCUAAUUUGAUUACAUAUUUUUGUGACGAAACUUAUUUUGUAUCCAAACUUAAACGAAUUUAAAGAUAAAUAUGAUUUAUCAUAAAUAUUCAGUAAAAACAGGGAGAAAAUUUAUCAUCAUCAAUAUCCUCAAUUUCGUCGCUAAAAUUACCUUACAAUUUGAUUUAAUUAUAAAUUGAAAAUCAAAUUUAAAAAUGAUUAAAUUUGUGAUGUUGGUGCAAAAUGCACGUAUCAAAUUAAACCCACCUUUAGGUCUAAGAAAAUGGUGAGCACAUCUUAACCAUUAUUCUUCAACUCAUUUCAUCUCUUCCUCAAUUAAUUAUGCAAAUAAUAAAAAUAUUUCUUUUUCCAUUCAAUGUCUGUGUUUUAUAUUGAAGUUCCAAUUAACUCUAGAUUAGAAACCGGAGGCGAGGGCACAUUUAAAGGUGAUGCUUCCUAUACGACUCAUGUAGUAAAAAAAAUUAUAAAAAAAACCACCACAAUAAUUAUAUACGCUUCAAAAAAAAGAAGAGAAUAGAAUAGCAUCCUAUUCAUAGAGAAAACUAUACUUGAUAGUUAACUGGUAGCAAAACUUUUGCACAAGAUUAAUUAUAUUUGUAUAGUUGAUUUAUUCAAGGUUUUAAUUAGAAGAGGUCUAGGAUUCUAUUUAUUUUUAUCCAUAUUUUUUAAACAAUAAAUUUGCUACAAAAGGAUGUCUGUGACAAAUCAUGUCUCCUAAAUAUAAGCACUUGUGUGAAGGUUAGUUGAGUGUAAAGUUGAGGCAUCCACGCAUUUUUUUUUUCAAAGGUUCUGUAAAAAGAAAACAAGAUUUUGUAGCUCUUUGAAUCAUUCUGUCACAAACAGUAUAGUUCCCUUAAUAGUUUAUACAUUUGCUUAGGAUGAUGCCUCUAUAUAUCUAUCAAAUUAAAUAUACAAACUAAAGUCAAAAUUGAGCCAACAACAUGUCAAGACUAAAUAAACAUAUGCAUAACUCUACCAUAUUACCUACAUUUGUAUAAAUUUUGGUAAGGGUAAUUUCUAAAUGAAGUCUAUAUAAAGGGGUUUGGGUGAAGCUUAAGAGGACAAAAACUUCUCUCCUUUGUUUCAAAUAUAGGGAAAAUGGCCUCUCUAGUUGCAACUCUUUUAGUGGUUUUAGUGUCACUUAGCUUACCAUCCGAAAGUUCAGCUAAUUAUCAAUACACAUCUCCCCCACCACCAAAGGAGUCAUACCACCCUUCACCAACACCUUAUCAUCCCGUACCACUUUACAAGUCUCCACCACUGCCAACUCCAGUUUACAAUUUUCCACCACCACCCAGAGAGACGUACUACCCUCCACACACUCCAGUGUACAUGCCGUCACCACCCUCGACACAAAUUUACAAGUCGCCACCACCACCCAAGGAGCCAUAUUACCCUCCACACACCCCAACCUACAAGUCGCCACCUCCACCAACUCCUAUUUACAAGUCUCCACCGCCGCCAACUCCCUUUUACAAUUCUCCACCACCACCCAAGGAGCCAUACUACACUUCGCCACCUCCACCAACUCCUACUUACAAGUACCCACCGCCACCAACUCCGGUUUACAAUUCUCCACCACCACCUAAGGAGCCAUACUACCCUCCACACACCCCAACCUACAAGUCGCCACCUCCACCAACUCCUGCUUACAAGUCUCUACCGCCGCCAAUUCCAGUUCACAAUUCUCCACCAUCACCCAAGGAGCCAUACUACCCUCCACACACCCCAACCUACAAGUCGCCACCUCCACCAACUCCUGCUUACAAGUCUCUACCGCUGCCAAUUCCAGUUCACAAUUCUCCACCAUCACCCAAGGAGCCAUACAACCCUCCACACACCCCAACCUACAAGUCGCCACCUCCACCAACUCUUGCUUACAAGUCUCCACCGCCACCAACUCCGAUUUACAAUUCUCCACCACCACCCAAGGAGCCAUACUACCCUCCACAUACCCCAACCUACAAGUCGCCACCUCCACCAACUCCCAUUUACAAGUCGCCACCGUCACCAACUCCGGUUUACGAUUCUCCACCACCACCCAAGGAGCUAUACUACCCUCCACACACCUCAACCUACAAGUCGCCACCACCACCGAAUGAGCCAUACUACCCUCCACACACACCAACAUACAAGUCGCCACCUCCACCAAUUCCAAUCUACAAGUCACCACCUCUUCCAACUCCUAUUUACAAGUCGCCACCACCACCCAAGGAGCCAUACUACCCUCCACAUACUCCACUUUCACCGUCUUCAGUUUAUAAGUCUCCACCUCCACCAACUCAUGUUUACAAGUCGCCGCCACCACCUAUAGAGCCAUACUACCCUCCACACACCCCAAUCUAUAAGUCGCCACCUCCACCGAUUCCUGUUUACAAUUCACCACCUCCACUAACUCCAGUUUAUAAGUCACCACCACCACCCAAAGAGCCUCACUACCCUCCACACACCCCAGUGUAUAAGUCACCACCACCACCCAAGGAGCCAUACUAUUCUCCACAAAAUCCAGUCUACAAGUCGCCACCUCCACCAACUCCCAGUUACAAGUCGCCAACACCACCCAAGGAGCCAUAUUAUCCUCCACAUACCCCAACUUACAAGUCACCACCUCCACCAACUCCAGUAUACAAGUCGCCGCCACCACCCAAGGAGCCAUACUACCCUCCACACACCCCGACCUACAAGUCGCCACCACCACCGAAGGAGUCAUACUAUCCUCCACACACCCCAACCUACAAGUCACCACCUCCACCAACUCCUGUUUCCAGCUCUCCACCACCACCAACUCCAGUCUACAAGUUUCCACCACCAACAGAUUAUGUUUACACCUCUCCCCCUCCUCCCUACUAUUACUAAGAAGAGAUUUCAUUAUAUCUAAGGUAAUUAAACCAAACUAAAACUUUUAAUUAUGAUAUGUCUAUAGAAGUUGCACAAUUUCUUCGUUCGAAUAAUUAAUAUAGACCUGUAUACUGUCUACAUCUUAUUUGGUUUAGGUUCUAUUAUAUGUUCUCAUUCACAAUACUAAUUAUAUUCUUAUGCAGGAAAGAUGCAGAAUGUUGAGCUAAAAGAAAAUAAGCCCACACAGGAGGCAAAGUUUUUUUGUAGCUUCAUUUUGUAUAAGUUAUUGUUUGUACCCUAUAUUAUAUUUAUAUUUUACUUCUAUUUAUUUGUGUAAUAUGUUUGUUCGAUCUCCUUGCAACAUGCAGCCAUUAUGAGAUGUAUAAAAUAUGUUAUUACUAUAUAUACUGUCUUUUUUCUUAUUUUUGUCAUCCCUUAUAUUGAGUUAUAUUUAUAAGUUGAGCCUCUUAUCAAUUACAUUAAAUCAGUUGCUAUAAAAAAUGUGGUUUUUCACCACCAAUAAGUUCAACGAUAAGCUACAAUCAACUGGGAAUAUUAGUAGCUUCAAUAGAAAAUGUUAAUAGCUCCGUUGAUUAGUUAUUUGAACUUUUUAUCUUUAUUACACGUCGCAAUAACAAUCAAUGUAAAUAUUAUAUCUAACCUCUGGACUUAUGCCCACAUAAUUCCUCAAUGCACCCACACAAAAUAUUGAAAUUAAAUAUUAUUACUUGCCUAUUUCUCUUAUCUUGAUUAUUAGUUUUCAGGGAUGAAAGUUUAAUUGUUACACCUUUCACUUUUUUAAAAAAAAAAAAAAGGAAUGGACAACCAACUGAUUUCGUAUCUGAUUGUAGUUGUUGAAGGCAUAUUGUAAUAAUUAAAUUUUCGUUUUUGAAAAAUAAUAAUCAAAAAAUAGAAAAUAUCAAUAAAUAAUAAUAUUUAAUUUUAUUUAUUUGUGCACGAUUUAACAAUCAUUAGAGAUUUCACACUAAAAUGUUUAAUUUUUUUGUUUUUUCUUUUUUUCUCUUCAUGACUAUCAACUCAAAAGUUUUGCUUUUUACCUGAAUUGAUGGAAUACUUGUUGAAAGUUUACCACGAAUGCAUAAUCAAUUUUUAAUCACAUUCGAGGAGGCAUAAAACGACUCACAACUUGAAGGCAAAAAAGAGUUGUAUGCAGAAGACUGCAAAUCAUUAUUGAAUAUUUUUUUAUAUAGGCAUCAGCUAGGGUUUGAAAUAUUUGAUCUAAUCGACUUUAGGUUUGAGAAUAUGAGUUGUGUUGGAUUAGACUUGUAAAUUUAAUAAUGGACUAACCUAAAUUUAAUCGAAAAAUUACCUAACUACAUAUAUAUUUUUUUAUCCUAUUUUCUAUUAUUUCAUAUAAUUUAUAAAAAUUACAAAAAUCUUUUUUUUCUCUCAAAUUCGCUCCUUUCAAGAUUCAUAACUUUAAAUCUUCCAACUCACAAUUUCUCCUUUUUCUCAGGCCUAUAAUCGCUCUACUAUAUUACUAGUUACCUUCAUCUCCUAUAUUUUGAAUUUUAGAUAUUUUUCUCUCUCCCGUUUAUAAUUUAAUUGAGUAUGUAUCAUAUGUUUGUUAUGUAUGUGAAGUACUAUUUUAUAACUAAAUCAUUGUUUAUCAUAUUCAUAAGUUUUUUUUAUAUGAUACAUAGCUAUGUCAAAUUAUACCGGCAUGAUACAUAAAUACUAAUUUAUGCUACAUGUAACGAUCUCAAAUCAAACAACUUAUGAGCAACAAUUACAUGUUAAAUGUAUCCCGUAACAAUACGAUACUUAUUAAUUUAAACGAGAUAAAUAAAUAGUAAUGUAUCAUGUAUUAGUUUUUAGAUGUGAUACAUAAAUUCGAAUUUGGACUACAUGUAUUAAUUACAUAGAAACUACCACGCGGUGAUGUAUCCAUCACAAAUGUAACAUCUUAUGGGCAACAAUUACUUAUUUAAUGUAUCUACUAUAAAUACAAUACUAAUCAAUUGAGACGAGAUACACAAAUAGUAAUGUAUCAUGCAAAAAAAUUUUUUACUUGAUAUGUGAAUUCGAAUUUAUACUAAAUGUAUCAAUUACAUAGCAACUACCACAUUGUAAUGUAUCGAUCUCGAAUUCAACAUCUUAUGGACUAUAAUUAUUUAUUUAGUGUAUUUAGUAUAAAUACAAUACUUAUCAAUUUAAACAAGAUACAUAAAAGUAAAAUGCUAAGUAGACAAGAUAUUCAUGAUAAUAUUCUCAAUUUUUUUGAGAUUCUUCAAUAAACUAGGAGAAGAAUUCUGAAUCUCAAAAUUUACAACAAUUUUGAAUCAAAAUUAAAAAGAUCUUUGAUGAACUGGAGAACAAAGAAUCUUAAUCUCAAAAUUUUUAACAAUCUUGAAUCAAAACUGAAAGGAAUAUCUUUGAUGAUCUUGAAGAUUCAAAAGAAAAUUGUUUAUCCAACAACAAUUUUGUCACUUUUGUAUCAUUCAUAAUUCACUUCGCUUACCCAAAAUUUCGACAAAAGUUUUUGGAUCAAAUGUGAAAGGUUUCUUUGUUGAACGGGGGGAUCAACUAGAAAUUUUAAAUUUCUUCGUUCUGUAUGGAUUUGAUUCUGUAUGAUUGAGAGUAAAAAGAAAUAUAAGCGUAAUUUAUGGAAUUUAAUUAGUUUUCAGAUUUUAUUUUCUUUUUAGCGCAACAGAAAGAUUCUUUUUGUAUUAAAAUUAGUGUAUCUAGAUGGUGGUGACUUAUGUAUUUGUUGAAGGAAGCUGAUGGAACAGGUUUGGUAGUAUAUGACUUUUUUCCUAUAUAAGGAUGAUGUAACUCAAUCAUUCAUUCAUCAAUAUAAUCCUUGAUUCUUCACAUACAUAUCUGUGAGAAUUCUACAUCCGAAAGGUACAAAUUUUAACGGAUCAUUUUAUUAGAAAAAAAUAGAGAUAAAAUAUAAUGUAUUCUUUACAUUACGAAGUUUACGUAAGUUAAUCAAAUUUGAUUAAACUUCCCUUAAAUCAUAAAAGUUUAACUUAAUAUUAUUCCAACUUUAUUAUAGAUAUAUAUAAUUGGAAAAAAAAACAAACAAAAUAGAACAUAAGAUCUCGAUCGCUGGACAAAUGUUUGUCUAUAAUAAAUAAAUAUGUCGGUAAUAAUUAUUGACUAGGUCAAUGUAGCUAAGGUUUGUACUUGUUUAUACUUACAUCCUAUCUCUUGGGACGAUUAAAAAAAUAUUAGUUUAGCUUAUUUAAUAAUGGAAUCUUAUAUGGAGUUUACUAAUUUUAUCUUUGUCGGUGAUUAAGUUAUACAAAUGAUUAAUUAUUUUUCUAAUUAAAAAGUCAAAAGUCAUUAUUGGAUGAACCAAGAAUCUUCCAUGUAUUUGAAUACUUUUUCUGUCUCCCUUAAAUCGUGAUGGCUUUUUUGUAAGUUAAAUAAUAAAAAAUUUUAUUAAUGUUUUGUUGAUAUAAGAAAUUAUAAAAUAAGUAUUUUUGUAUAAUAUAUUUAAAUUUUUAAUUUAAAUUUAAAUUUUAAAAAUUAGUUAUAUUAACUGUUAAAAAACCGUACAACGACUAAAACGGGACGGCUUGUUCUCUUCUUUCUUUUAUUAUAAAUAAAAAUAAAAAUUUAACUAAUGUGCAAUCAAUAAUGUUAAUUAUUUAUUCAAAGUUUAAAUUAAACACAUAAAAGUGAAAAGUAUAAAGCCUUCAACCGAUUCGAUUCAUUUAAUUAUGUUUCUUAAGAUAUUCCAUAUUUUCAAAUUUUAAAGAGAACUAUAAAUUCCUACAUUUAAAACUACAUACAUUAUUAAAAUGUGCCUAUAUAACACGCAUUUAAAUUAGUUGUGCUCAAAUAUAGAUAUCAAACAAGGAAUAAAACAUAAAGUGAAUUACUUAAACUAUAAUUAUAUAUUAAGUAAUUAAAUCAAAUCGUGUAAUUUAAUUAAUUAUACUACCAAAAUAUUAACUUCAACGAUAUGAAGUAACGCAAUGUACCUUUAAAGUUUCACAAAAUUUAAUUAGGUUGUAAGGUUUGAUUCUUGAAAUUUAGAAAUUAUUUUCAAGUGAUUUGAGUACAUUGAAAGUACCUAAGUCAAUAAAGUCAAAAAUAAAUUAAUUUUUACUUUGUAUCGUGACCUGUAUUCUACAUCUUGUGUGUUCCCACGAUAAUAAACUAAGAUACCAAAAAUUUCAUAGAUAUUAUAUUUAAUCAUAUAAAUUUUUUCAAUAUUGAGCUACAUAAUCCGUUGAAUUUUUUGCCCUCUAUUCCCACCUAAAACUAAAAAGAAAGAACAACAUUAAUUGCUUUAUUUAGUAAUGAAAGUGGGUCAUUAUAUAUAUAUAUAUAUAUAUAUAUAUAUAUAUAUAUAUAUAUAUAUAUAUAUAUAUAUAUAUAUUAUUUUAUUUUAUUUUAUUUUAUUUUUUUGACAACUAGGGAAACCUGAGCCGCUAUCCUAUAAAAUAGCUCGCAAAUCACAUAGGAGAGGUAACCUGCACUAGGCAAGCCUGGUGCAACGAGCUUGACCCAGAAGGCAAAUCUCUUGCUUUCGCUGGCAAGGGGUUUCAAACUUGAGACCUCCAAUAUGGAAGUUUCAAGCUCAAACCAUUGGGCCACCCCGAAGGGUUAUAUAUAUAUAACUUUUAGUAAUAUUAGAUAUUGACAUUAAUAAAGAGUGUUAAAGUCUUUAUCGGUAUCAGUUAAGUGUCAUUAGAACCAAUGUUGCUAAAGGCUUUAGGGACACAUACAAAGAAAGUUAUUGCCGCUAAAAACACUUAUUUGGCGACGUUUGAAAAUUAAUUGCCAAUAAUGAUUAUUUUUAAUAUAGUGUAUAUAUGUAUUAUUGUUUUAAAUCUCUAUACUAUUUAAGCACUAAAGGUAAUUAAAGGUUAGUUUAUCAAUCAAAAUCAAAAAAAAAUAAAUUGUUACUCCCUUAGUUCGUUUCAUAGUAGUUGAUCAUCUUACUAAAAAUAAUUGUUACACAUUAAUUGUCCAUCUUAUUAAAUCAAGAAAUCAAUAAUUAAUUUUUUCCUAUAUUAUCUAUUCAGAUAAUUCUUUUGAAAGUAUUAACAUUUGUUUGUAAAAUGUAAAAGAAGUUUUCAAGGGGUGAAUUAAUAAAAUUAUCUAGCUAGUUAAUAAAAAUGAUGGGUGAAAUAAUAUUAUCUAGCUACUUAAUAAAAAUAAUCAACUAAUAUGAGACACAUAAAAAUAGAAUUCUUCAAAUAUUUUGUAACAAAAAAAAAAAGAAAAAAGGCAGUGUACACUGAUUUUUGUAACUAAAAAUCGUGCGAAGUUGAGGGAUGCACGCAUUUUUUUCAAAGAUUUUGUAUGUAUGUAAUGUAAAAGCUUGGAAGAAAAAGAAGACUUUGUAGCUCUUUGAAUUAUUGCAUCACAAGAUGUAAAGAAAAUUGUAUGGUUGUCUUAAUAGUUUAUACAUUUUUGCUUAGCUUGCACCCUCUAUCCAAUAAAUAAAGUCAAAUUGAGCCAACAACAUGACAAAACCAAUUAUAAAAAUGAAUAAAAACUUUACCUACAUUUAUGUAAAUCUUGGUAAGGGUAAUUGUCGAAAUGAAAGCUAUAUAAAGGGGUUUGAGUGAAACUUAAAGAGGACACCAACUUCUCUUCUUUGGUUUCAAAUAUGGGGAAAAUGGCCUCUCUAGUUGCUACUCUUUUAGUGGUUUUAGUGUCACUUAGCUUUGCUUCCGAAAGCUCAGCAAACUAUCAAUACUCAUCUCCUCCACCACCAAAGAAGCCAUACCACCCUUCACCAACACCUUAUCAUCUCGCACCAGUUUACAGAUCACCACCACCACCAACUCCACUUUACAAGUCACCACCACCACCUAAGGAGCCACACUAUCCUCCACACACCCCGGUUUACAAGUCGCCACCUCCUCCAGCUCCAAUUUACAAGUCACCACCACCACCGGUGAAGCCAUACCAUCCAGCACCAGUUUAUAAGUCACCACCACCCCCUACGCCUGUUUACAAGUCACCACCACCACCAGUGAAGCCACACCAUCCUGCACCAGUAUACAAGUCUCCACCACCACCAACUCCAGUUUAUAAGUCACCACCUCCUCCAACACCCGUUUACAAGUCACCACCACCACCAGUGAAGCCAUACCAUCCUGCACCAGUAUACAAGUCACCACCACCUCCAACACCCAUUUACAAGUCACCACCACCACCAGUGAAGCCAUACCAUCCUGCACCAGUAUACAAGUCACCACCACCUCCAACACCCGUUUACAUGUCACCACCACCACCAGUGAAGCCAUACCAUCCUGCACCAGUAUACAAGUCACCACCACCUCUAACACCCGUUUACAAGUCACCACCACCACCAGUGAAGCCAUACCAUCCUGCACCAGUAUACAAAUCUCCACCACCACCAACUCCAAUUUACAAGUCACCUCCACCACCAGUGAAGCCAUACCAUCCUGCACCAGUAUACAAGUCUCCACCACCACCAACUCCAGUUUAUAAGUCACCACCACCACCGGUGAAGCCAUACCAUCCUACACCUGUGUACAAGUCUCCACCACCACCAACUCCUGUUUACAUGUCCCCACCACCACCAGUGAAGCCAUACCAUCCUACACCUGUGUACAAUUCUCCACCACCACCAACUCCCGUUUACAUGUCCCCACCACCACCAGUGAAGCCAUAUCAUCCUACACC